rnacentral:rRNA from 1 species
AUUCCAGCUCCAAUAGCGUAUAUUAAAGUUGUUGCAGUUAAAAAGCUCGUAGUUGGAUUUUGGGAUAAGCUAGUUGGUCCGCCGCAAGGUGAGAACUGACGGGCAUAUCCUUCCUCUCGAAAACGGUGCGUGCGCUUUAAACCGUGUGUAUCGGGUUCGGGACUUUUACUGUGAGAAAAUUAGAGUGUUCAAAGCAGGCUAUCGCUUGAAUAUUUCAGCAUGGAAUAAUGGAAUAGGACAUUGGUUCUAUUUUGUUGGUUUCUAGGACCGAAGUAAUGAUUAAUAGGAAUAGUUGGGGGCAUUAGUAUUUAAUUGUCAGAGGUGAAAUUCUUGGAUUUAUGAAAGACUAACUUCUGCGAAAGCAUUAGCCAAGGAUGUUUUCAUUA